rnacentral:lncRNA from 1 species
GUUUCCCGACGCUCUAGACGGCUUGGAGCAGCGGUGGUGUUGAGCUCGUGAUUGGAGAUUGUUUCGAGCCUCACCAAUUGAUUUGUGAGGGGUUCUUGAGCCUUCCCCGCGGGAGAUCGCAAUUGGCUACUCUAGUGGAUUGCUCGUGGCUUGGAGGAUCCCCAUCUUGUGAGUGGAUGUGCGGCACCCGCUGAGGGUUUGGCUUUGAAUUGCCAAUCAGCUCGUGAUCCAUCAAGUGGGUGUAUCGCCACAACGAGGAGUAGCUUGCCGGGAAGCAAGUGAACCUCGGUAAAAAAUCUUGUGUCAUCUCUUGCCGAGGUCUCUCUUGUGAUUGUGUACGUGAUUGAUUGGAUAUAUUUCUACUCUACAACGUUGGUAUAACAAUCACUCCUCUCUCCUUUACCUUUGUGCAUACCUUGCUAGUUGUGUAGCUUGUUUAGCUUAACUAUCUUGUUUAGGAGUGUAGCAAGCUUCUAGUUGUGCUUUCUUGUUGUAACUAGUGUUUAGCUUUCUUGCUAGACUUGUGUAGGUGGCUUGCAUAGAUUAGUAGUGCUAGUGCUAGAAUAGCUUCGCCUUUUGUUUUACUAAUCAACUUGUCUAGUUGAAGUUUGUAGAAAUUUUAAAUAGGCUAUUCACCCCCCCCCCUCUAGCCAUUUGGACCUUUCAGACCUCAGCGUGUGUAGACUCCUGAACCAGGGUAUACAAACAGUAAGGCGCGGGACUCACGGGGCACUAAUCCGUUCCUCUGCAUUUCAGCAGGUAUAAUCAUUUUCUAUCUCUGAUCCGUGCAUAUUAAAAGCAGUUGCUGCUGAGAGUUGGAGUUUAUUGCCUAACUAGUAUAACGAGUUUGAGUUUGUCACCUUCGAUCUGUGCAUAGUACUUUUUUUUGCAAAGUAUGAAUAAACAAUAAAAUAAAAUUAUAAUUGUCUUAUUUUAGAUAUGAUUAUAAAUAAUUUUAAGAAAACACACGAUCUUAAAAUUACAUGGAUGAGAUUCUACUCUUCAUCUAGUUCAUGUUGUUGUGUACUGAAUUUCUGCCAUAUGUACUCUAUCAAAUCUUCCUUGAGAUGGAUGUGAGUGGAUCAAUUGCGAAUUUUGAGAGAAUUUUCAUGUCUUUGUCUAGUACAUCUCUGAAUCCAUAGAUUGGUCCAUGUGCAAACCUAGUUAAAUUUGAGGAAGAUUGCCCUUGCUCAUAUGUGUUAUCAUUUGGUAUGUCUUUAGAUAAUUAUGCUUUGCUUAAAACCUGGUCAUUUGUGUUCAUGUUAUCAAAGUUGACAUAUAGUUUGAUUAAGACACCAUUGUCUACUAGUGACUUUAGGAUUUUAUAUUUUCAUGGAAUAUAUAAAUGUCUAGUAUGGUGUGUGGUUUGCUUCUUCUGAAGUCAUUUUUCCUCUAGCUUAUUCAUGCAUCUGGUGCCUGUGAUGAUAUUGACAUUUGUUAGACUAUAUUUUGCUCGACUGCAUAUUCUCUCUAAUUAACUGUCACUGUUUUGGACUCAGAACUAGGAUAGUUUUAGUUCUAUGUAUUUAGCUACUUCCAUUUCCCACCUUAUAUUUAUGGAUGUUUGAGGUUUACAUUUUUAUAUAUUUUAAUCAUAACAUGUUCCUUCCAAUCAAUUUCUUCCCCAUCCUGUUCAAUGAGAAAUUUACUUGACUAUUUCAAUUCAUACUUGUAGUGUCAUACUUUAUACCAUCAACACUUAAUCUCUAUAAAUAAUUAAAAGUAUUAUUUUCCUAAAACAAAAUAAUCAUAUGAAAUGACUAAACUGAACAUAUGGAUAGUGCCUGAUAACACAAGAUUGGAUGGUACAUGAUAUCAUUUAACUAAUGCAAUUUGUACUAUAAUAUGUGAGCAGUAGUCAAGAGGUUGUAUCAUUAAUCUGCAGUAGUGCAUAUUUUAAAUAAACACAAUAUUACUAGUGAGUUCUACAUAUAAGUUACAUAUUUAUUUUGUAUAAUUUGUACAUAAACAUAACUUUUUUAUAAAGUAGUGUAACUUAUGUACCAAAGUUAUAUUGUGUUACUUAAGUUGCGCAGAAUAACUUAUGAACAUAAGUUUAAUAAAAUAAUUUAUGCAUAAAACUUUUAUGUCUAACUUUUUGCACAUAACUUUAUGUCUAACUUUUUUAUAAAAUCUAUAGUUGUUCACUGUCUAACUUUUUGUCCAUAAGUUGUAUGGUUUAUUAUAUUUUCAUAUAACUUGUAGUCGUUAAUGAACUUGGUUUAUUAAAUUACAUGCUUAAGUUUUGUUUGUAACCUUUAUGUCUUAAAUGGGUACUUACUUAUCCAUUCUAAUAAGACUUUUAAUAUAUUUUUUUGCUUUUCACUCAACUGUUAUAUCUAACUUUUUGUACCUAUGAUUUUUGUGUUCGAGAAUCCUUAUCUUUGCUCUUUCUCAAACUUGUCAUGGUAUUCGAUUUCUACAUCAACAAGGUAUGACAGGUAUGAUUUUGUACUUAAUUUAUUACAUUCAUUGCUAUAGGAAAUAGUUUCUUCUAUUUUUUAUGAGAUUCUUCAUUCAAAUGUGCUUCUUAAUUUGCUCUAUACAUUUGUCAUUCAAACGUGUUUAUUAAUUUGCUAUAUACAUUUGUCCUAUAUAGAUUUUUAUCUAUUUUUUGUUUUCAUGUGUACUAACUAACUUAGUUGAUUAACUUAUUCUACAAAGUUAUGUAUCUAACUUAUAUUUUUAUAUGUAUAUUAUCUAACUUAGUUGGUUCAGUUAUUAUACAGAGUUAUGUAUCUAGUGUUAUUAUAUCUAUGCUAUCUAACUCAUUUGAUUAACUUACUAUCCAGUGUUAUGUACUUAACUUGUGUUUUUGUCUGUAUGUAAGAUAGUCAUCUUACUUUUCCUAUUAACUUAUGUUUUUCUUAUUGUGAACUUUUUUAUUUGUUAUUUUAAAUAUUAAAAUAUUUUGUAGAUCUUUCAAUUGAAGACACAUAUAUGCUCAAUGUCAUAGUUACAGAGAUGCAGAGACUAUCAUAGUUGCAGAAUUUAUGAAAGUUAUUAUUUAUCUGGUUGCUAGUUUGCAUCAUAUUAUGGAAUUUAUAGUGUAGUAUAUGUUACAAAAGUUACUUUUAUUUUGCUCUCCCACCCGUUUUAAAACCCUAUUCCCAUGUCUCCAAAUGAUCUCAGUUUUAAAUCUUAUUUAUAUGUCUAACUUAUUGUACAUAAGUUCAUUAGGUUUAUUGUAUUGAGUUAUGUAUCUAAUUCCUCUUUUUAUGUAUAGGCUACCUAACUUACUAGAUUAAUUUAGUGUACAAAGUCAUGUAAGUAACUUGUGUUUUUCAUGUGCUGCAUGCUAGCUAACUUACUUGUCUAAGUUACUAUUACAUCUAACUUGUGUUUUGUAUUUGUUAUUUUAAAUUUUACAAUUUAAUUAUUUUACAGAUCUACGAAUUGAAGAAACAGAUGCUGAGGUUAUCACUGCACAAGUUAAAAAAUCAAUUAUUUAUCUUGGUUUUCCAAGGGUGCAUCAUCAUUUUAUGGAAUCUAUUGUGUAGUAUAAGUUGUAAAAGUUACUUUUAUUUCAUCUCCCACCCUUUUAUAAACCCUCUUCUCAUGUCCCAAAUGUUUAGUUUUCUAAAAAGAGAAAAAACGACUCUUGAAACCUAAAAGGGAAUGCAGAAGAACGACUAAGUUAGCAAUGUUAAGUUAGUCCUCGAAGUUAUGUUGUUUAAAAGCACUGCUAAUUUAGUACGGUUAAGUUUAUCGUGGAAGUUAAGCUUUUUAAUUAUGUUUUAUAAGUUAUGAGCACAUGCUUCUUAAAAAAUGAAAAAAUAUUAAAGGGCGGGUGAUCCACCAAAAGAAAAUGAAAAGAGAAUCGAAUGCCUCAAAAGAGAAAGAGAAACAAUUUCUUGUUCUGUCUAAAAAGAGAAAGUAAUACGUGUACUUUCCAAAAAGGGUAAGAGAAUGCCA